GCGCCGAGCAGCGAGGACAGGGCGCCGCCGGCGCUGGUGCCGGCGGAGACGAUCCGGUCGGUGUCGCCCGGGAUCCGGCCCUUGUUGGCGCG
rnacentral:tRNA from 1 species